rnacentral:rRNA from 1 species
CCUACGGGAGGCAGCAGUGAGGAAUAUUGGUCAAUGGACGAGCGUCUGAACCAGCCAAGUAGCGUGAAGGAUGACUGCCCUAUGGGUUGUAAACUUCUUUUAUAUGGGAAUAAAACGUUCCACGUGUGGGAUUUUGUAUGUACCAUAUGAAUAAGGAUCGGCUAACUCCGUGCCAGCAGCCGCGGUAAUACGGAGGAUCCGAGCGUUAUCCGGAUUUAUUGGGUUUAAAGGGAGCGUAGGUGGAUUGUUAAGUCAGUUGUGAAAGUUUGCGGCUCAACCGUAAAAUUGCAGUUGAAACUGGCAGUCUUGAGUACAGUAGAGGUGGGCGGAAUUCGUGGUGUAGCGGUGAAAUGCUUAGAUAUCACGAAGAACUCCGAUUGCGAAGGCAGUUCACUGGACUGCAACUGACACUGAGGCUCGAAAGUGUGGGUAUCAAACAGGAUUAGAUACCCGUGUAGUC